GACGAACGCUGGCGGCGUACCUAACACAUGCAAGUCGAGCGGGGAUUUAAGUGGAAGUUCUUCGGAAUGGAGAUUUAAAUUCUAGCGGCGGACGGGUGAGUAACGCGUGAACAAUCUGUCCCGGACAGGGGGAUAACACUUGGAAACAGGUGCUAAUACCGCAUAAGACCACGGCCUCGCAUGGGGCUGAGGUAAAAGGAGCAAUCCGGUUCGGGGUGAGUUCGCGUCCGAUUAGCUAGUUGGUGAGGUAACGGCCCACCAAGGCGACGAUCGGUAGCCGGCCUGAGAGGGUGAACGGCCACAUUGGAACUGAGAGACGGUCCAAACUCCUACGGGAGGCGGCAGUGGGGAAUAUUGGGCAAUGGGCGAAAGCCUGACCCAGCAACGCCGCGUGAGGGAAGAAGGUUUUCGGAUUGUAAACCUCUGUCCUAUGGGACGAAGGAAGUGACGGUACCAUAGGAGGAAGCCCCGGCUAACUACGUG
rnacentral:rRNA from 1 species